UACAGAGGUCCCAAGCGUUGUUCGGAUUUAUUGGGCGUAAAGGGCGCGUAGGCGGCCAGCUCAGGCCGGUUGUGAAAUCUCCGGGCUUAACUCGGAAAGGUCACCGAUACUGUGCGGCUAGAGUGCGGAAGGGGCAACUGGAAUUCUCGGUGUAGCGGUGAAAUGCGUAGAUAUCGGGAGGAACACCUGCGGCGAAGGCGGGUUGCUGGGCCGACACUGACGCUGAUGCGCGAAAGCCAGGGGAGCAAACGGG
rnacentral:rRNA from 1 species